AAUUUAAUUUAAUUAGAAAAACGAAAU
rnacentral:sRNA from 1 species